UACAGAGGGUGCAAGCGUUGUUCGGAAUUAUUGGGCGUAAAGCGCGUGUAGGCGGCGAUGCAAGUCGGGUGUGAAAGCCCUCAGCUUAACUGAGGAAGUGCGCCCGAAACUGCGUCGCUUGAGUACCGGAGAGGAUGGCGGAAUUCCCGAAGUAGAGGUGAAAUUCGUAGAUAUCGGAAGGAACAUCAGUGGCGAAGGCGACUUCCUGGACCAAUACUGACGCUCAGGUGCGAAAGCGUGGGGAGCAAACAGG
rnacentral:rRNA from 1 species